CUAAAUCGUUGCUCCUCUGACUUCUGCGCCUCGACUUUCCAAACUGGAAUUUUCAAACCUGCAGCUCUUCGCGCCAGACAUAUUACUUAGUUUUACAGAAGUGUUCAUCAGGAUCGAUCUCUACAAUUCAGGAUGUUCCAUCUGAUUGAAUUCUUGGACAGCAAAACAGUAGCAGUCGUGCCACAAAGCUGGUACAGUGGUGGUGGCUGCGUUUGGCCAGAUUACCCGAGGGAUGAAAGGGUGGACAAGGCGGUCCGAAGUGCCGAAGAACCUCAACCUGACUGGCAGACACAUGAUGUCAGAAUAAUUAGAUCAUGCGAUGAUUACUUGGUGGCAAGGCGAUGGUUAACAAAAUAUAUGUCCUGUGACACAUCUGAUCUCCAUUCAGAAGAGGAGGCAAUUCCUAAAAGGAGAAAGCCAAUGCCUGUCCAUUUCUUUGGGGACUCGGAUGCAGACAGCGAGACUGAAAAUCGCCACCCCAAAAAAAAAAAAAAGGGUCCAACCACUAGCAGGACAGUUGCCCCUCCUCCAACUAUUG